rnacentral:rRNA from 1 species
CCCGACUGCUAUCAGAGUGGGACUAAGCCAUGCGAGUCGACAUAGCAAUAUGUGGCAUACGGCUCAGUAACACGUAGUCAACAUGCCCAGGGGACGUGGAUAACCUCGGGAAACUGAGGAUAAACCGCGAUAAGUCACUACUUCUGGAAUGGGUAAUGACUCAAACCUAUAUGGCCCCUGGAUUGGACUGCGGCCGAUCAGGCUGUUGGUGAGGUAAUGGCCCACCAAACCUGUAACCGGUACGGGCUCUGAGAGGAGGAGCCCGGAGAUGGGCACUGAGACAAGGGCCCAGGCCCUAUGGGGCGCAGCAGGCGCGAAACCUCUGCAAUAGGCGAAAGCCUGACAGGGUUACUCUGAGUGAUUUCCGUUAAGGAGAUCUUUUGGCACCUCUAAAAAUGGUGCAGAAUAAGGGGUGGGCAAGUCUGGUGUCAGCCGCCGCGGUAAUACCAGCACCCCGAGUGGUCGGGACGUUAUUGGGCCUAAAGCAUCCGUAGCCGGUUCUGCAAGUCUUCCGUUAAAUCCACCUGCUUAACAGAUGGGCCGCGGAAGAUACUACAGAGCUAGGAGGCGGGAGAGGCAAGCGGUACUCGAUGGGUAGGGGUAAAAUCCGUUGAUCCAUUGAAGACCACCAGUGGCGAAGGCGGCUUGCCAGAACGCGCUCGACGGUGAGGGAUGAAAGCUGGGGGAGCAAACCGGAUUAGAUACCCGGGUAGUCCCAGCUGUAAACGAUGCAGACUCGGUGAUGAAUUGGCUUCACGCCAAUUCAGUGCCGCAGGGAAGCCGUUAAGUUUGCCGCCUGGGGAG